rnacentral:lncRNA from 1 species
CAUAUGCUCAAAAGUGACGAAUGAAGUGAAAUGUUGUGUUACUGAUAUAAUGAUACGUGGAGAUUUUUAUGGAGGCCAAAACAAAACAUCAAACCUUUGUGUGUGUUCACUGCGUGUACAGCUAAUGCAGUGUACAAAUAUUAUUAUUACCCAAAACACGACUUGCUAACACACACAAUGAAUAUUUGACUCACCCUGCAUGGAGAGAGGAAGCCAACUUUCACAUGGGCUCGACAGUGGUAGGAGUGCAAUACCCAGUUUGACCGCACGUUCAGCACGCUGCACUUGGAGGGGGCGCUGUUUCACACUUCAUGAAGGGGAAAGGGUCAGCAGUACAGAACUGGAGUAUUUAAAUUCUAUUCACGUGUGGAAAAUAUAAGAGUUUAAAAAGGAUGUUUGAUGUCGUUAUAUCAGUUAUAUAUAAAUUAAGAUUAUUUUCUUACCUGUUACCUAUUUUCUUACACGUUUUACUUUUCACGUAUUUUACACACAUUUGCCCAUGUGAAUAGCCACUUACUGCUUGACUGCCUGCUAUACAAAUGAAACCCAUAAAGUAGUACAUCUGUGUCCUGCACAUGCCCCCGAAUGCAGCAUUAUUCUCCCACCUCUCCGACGGAAACCUUAUCUUUACCACUGCUUGAGUCAGGGUUGCACAAGCUAAAAGGAAACCAAUUAUUGUCCGUCAGCUGUACGCCGUAUAUCUGUCAGUACUUUUACUAGGCGUUCAGGGUUCAAAUGUACUCCAUCAUCAUUUUUUACAAGGGCUGAUGAAUGCGCUGAUGUUAUUUAUAGGCAGCUGUUUUCCCUUCCAUCAGCACUGUCACCCCUCGCCUGUUUACUGCACCUCGUCGUUCACCUCUCUCCGGUGACGGGAAGCUGGGUUUAAAAAUAGGAAACAUUCCACUUUUCACUCUAAGCACUUGGGUUGUCAGUGUCUGUGGAUUAGUUUUGUGUGUCACGAAGCAGCCCGACAUUCUUAAAUGUGAUAUGUUGUACACGAAAGAUGAAUCAAGCUGUCAAUGUGUCACACCUGUUAGAGCCACAGUAAAGCAUUGUGAAGAGAUACAG